rnacentral:misc_RNA from 1 species
GAUGAAGAACGUAGCGAAAUGCGAUACGUAAUGUGAAUUGCAGAAUUCAGUGAAUCAUCGAGUCUUUGAACGCACAUUGCGCCCCCUGGUAUUCCGGGGGGCAUGCCUGUCCGAGCGUCAUUGCUGCCCUCAGGCACGGCUUGUGUGUUGGGCCUCCGUCCUCCUCCCGGGGGACGGGCCCGAAAGGCAGCGGCGGCACCGCGUCUGGUUCUCGAGCGUAUGGGGCUUCGUCACCCGCUCUUGUAGGCCCGGCCGGCGCUUGCCGACACAUCAAUCUUUUUUCCAGGUUGACCUCGGAUCAGGUAGGGAUACCCGCUGAACUUAAGCAUAUCAAUAAGCGGAGGA